rnacentral:rRNA from 1 species
GACGAACGCUGGCGGCGUGCUUAACACAUGCAAGUCGAACGGAAAGGCCCUGCUUUUGUGGGGUGCCCGAGUGGCGAACGGGUGAGUAACACGUGAGUAACCUGCCCUUGACUUUGGGAUAACUUCAGGAAACUGGGGCUAAUACCGGAUAGGAGCUCCUGCUGCAUGGUGGGGGUUGGAAAGUUUCGGCGGUUGGGGAUGGACUCGCGGCUUAUCAGCUUGUUGGUGGGGUAGUGGCUUACCAAGGCUUUGACGGGUAGCCGGCCUGAGAGGGUGACCGGCCACAUUGGGACUGAGAUACGGCCCAGACUCCUACGGGAGGCAGCAGUGGGGAAUAUUGCCCAAUGGGCGGAAGCCUGAUGCAGCAACGCCGCGUGCGGGAUGACGGCCUUCGGGUUGUAAACCGCUUUCGCCUGUGACGAAGCGUGAGUGACGGUAAUGGGUAAAGAAGCACCGGCUAACUACGUG